GAUGUAACAAUAGCCUAAGUCAUUAGGGAUUUAUUUUUUUCUUUUAAUUAUUCUAGUUAUCCUGAUCAAAAGUGGGAUUGGUGGAUAGUUACAUUCCUGCCUGUGAAGGAUGCACCUGUGUCCCACACCUUGGCAUGCAGCAAGGUGUGUUCCCAGCACCAUUCUUAUGUAACAGGGGCUACCCCUCCACUUCCUUUCCUUGCUGGUUUCCUGAGCCCUGCUUUUAGAGGUGAUGCUGUCCAUGCUGCCCCAUGUUUCUUCCUCCAUGGGACAAGUCCAGCCUCCUGAAUUCUCUUUCCAGCCCCUCAAGGAGUAAGCAGCAGUAUUUAAAGCCUUGACUCCCAGGAAGACCACGCUGGUUGCAGUGACUGCACUUCAGCAAGGACACUGGGAAAUGAAGUCUUCAAAUCACAGUCAAGAUAAAGGGCAGCCAACAGUGUAAUUUGAAUUAUCUUUUCUUUGCAAAAUGAAAGAUCUUCAGAAGAAUAAGAAAAUCUUCCAGAAAAGUCUGAGAAAAAUAAAGCAAAAAAAGAGUUCCU